rnacentral:rRNA from 1 species
AUGCAUGCUUUUACAGUAUGGAAAUUGGUGAUUUAUAAUAACUUGGCAAAUCGCAAAGUGAAAACAGGCGAUAAAUCAUUCAAGUUUCUGACCUAUCAGCUUUCGACGGUAUGGUAUUGGCUUACCGUGGCAGUGACGGUUAACGGGGGAUUAGGGUUCGAUUCCGGAGAGGGAGCCUGAGAAACGGCUACCACAUCUAAGGAAGGCAGCAGGCGCGCAAAUUACCCAAUUCUAACAGUUUGAGAGAGGUAUUAACAAGAAAUAACAAUACAAGGCAAUUAAAAUGCUUUGUAAUUGGAAUGAUAGAAAUUUAAACCCUUUUUAAAGUAUCAAUUGGAGGGCAAGUCUGGUGCCAGCAGCCGCGGUAAUUCCAGCUCCAAUAGCGUAUAUUAAAAUUGUUGCAGUUAAAAAGCUCGUAGUUGAAGUUCUGCUAAAAGUAACCGGUCUGCUUUUAAUAAAAGUGGUAUCUUGGUGUGUAUUUAGCAAUGAUGUCCUUUGAAGUGUUUUUUACUUUAUUGUAAUAAAGCAUAUUCAGGACUUUUACUUUGAGAAAAUUAGACUGUUUCUAGCAGGCCGACGCUUUGAAUUCUGCAGCAUGGAAUAAUAAGAU